UACAGAGGGGGCAAGCGUUGUCCGGAAUCAUUGGGCGUAAAGGGCGCGUAGGUGGCCCGGUCAGUCCGUGGUGAAAGCGCGGGGCUCAACCCCGCGUCGGCCAUGGAUACUGCUGGGCUUGAGCACUGUAGAGGCAGGCGGAAUUCCGGGUGUAGCGGUGGAAUGCGUAGAGAUCCGGAAGAACACCGGUGGCGAAGGCGGCCUGCUGGGCAGUGGCUGACACUGAGGCGCGACAGCGUGGGGAGCAAACAGG
rnacentral:rRNA from 1 species